rnacentral:rRNA from 1 species
UACAGAGGUCCCGAGCGUUGUUCGGAUUCAUUGGGCGUAAAGGGUGCGUAGGCGGCGGGGAAAGUCUGAUGUGAAAUCCUGGGGCUCAACCCUGGAACUGCAUUGGAUACUUCCUUGCUAGAGUACUGGAGAGGAAACUGGAAUUUACGGUGUAGCAGUGAAAUGCGUAGAGAUCGUAAAGGAAGACCAGUGGCGAAGGCGAGUUUCUGGACAGUUACUGACGCUGAGGCACGAAGGCCAGGGGAGCAAACAGG